UACAUCCCAGAAGGCUGCGCGCAAGGAGGGCGGGGAAGAGGGCGUCCGUGACGGCGGCCUCACCGCGGCAUCCUGGGAGGCGUAGUUCUCACUCCUAUGACAGAAAACGAGGGUGUGGCCAGCAAAGGACUUCAAGGCCCAUGAUCCCUUAGGAGGGGGCCGGCUGCAUUAGGGGUGGCUGCUGGUCUACGAGAAAACAGUCUCGGAGCUAAAAAUGGAUGGGAAUAAUCCACAUGAGAGUUGCUCCUUCUGCCUGGGCCUGGGAAUGAGAAGACCUGUGGAGCUGAGCUACUGCUUACCCACAACCUGCAUAUACAUAAAUCAGAAGCCAGCACUGGUUGUUGUGAGUCGCUUAGAUUUUGGGGUUGAUGAAGAUGACCUUAGGCACAGUGACCCUGAAGGCCACAUGUUAAAGACAGUGGAGCCACAGGAUGGAAGGAAGCUGGUUCCCUGAAUCAUCACGUGGCAGAGAGCGGACCACUAAUCAGGAUCAUGUGUUUCAGAUUUCACUUGACCAAUAAAUCAAUUUCAAUUUUGUUACA
rnacentral:lncRNA from 10 species